rnacentral:miRNA from 1 species
GAAGUCGAUUCUCCUGUCCACGUU